UCCCUCUUAGCUCAGUUGGUAGAGCGCGUCACUAGUAUAACAAAGUUAGAAUAAUUUGCAAAAUCUAUGACGAGGUCAGUCGUUCAAAUCGGCUAGCGGGAA